AAUAGAUACCCAGGUAGUCCACGCCGUAAACGAUGGAUGCUAGCUGUUAGAAGUAUCGACCCUUCUAGUAGCGUAGCUAACGCGUUAAGCAUCCCGCCUGUGGAGUACGGUCGCAAGACUAAAACAUAAAGGAAUUGACGGGGACCCGCACAAGCGGUGGAGCGUGUUGUUUAAUUCGAUGGUAAGCGAAGAACCUUACCCAGGCUUGACAUCCUGCCAAAGACUCUGAAAGGAGACUGUGCCUUCGGGCCGCAGUGACAGGUGAUGCAUGGCCGUCGUCAGCUCGUGUCGUGAGAUGUUUGGUUAAGUCCAUCAACGAGCGCAACCCUUGUAGUUAGUUGUAUUUUCUAGCUAGACUGCCCUGGUAACAGGGAGGAAGGAGGGGAUGAUGUCAGGUCAGUAUCUCCCCUACGCCUGGGGCUACAAACACGCUACAAUGGCCGGUACAAAGGGCAGCCAACCCGCGAGGGGGAGCAAAUCCCAUCAAAGCCGGUCUCAGUUCGGAUUGCAGGCUGAAACUCGCCUGCA
rnacentral:rRNA from 1 species